CAAGAGUGAAAGAGAACCACAAGACCCUGAGAUCAAUCGGCGAAGAAUUCAACCUGCACUCCGAUCGCGUAGGCUUCUCAAAAUAAUGUCAGCUCUACACGACGUAUCUGUCUGGGAACUUGGUUCCAUACCCAGAAGGAGAUCAGACAACCAAGAUUAUCCAUCAUCAAUCAACGGUCAUUCCACCAGAUUUGUCCUCAAGCCCCCAAAAAGAACCAAAAGGAAAAACCCGCAAAAAGAAAAAAAAUCACCUCUUUAUUAUUUGCCGAUCGUACCGCUCCUUCAAUCUCCGCUGAUUCUUCAAGAUUCCGACGUCUUCUCCGAUUAGUCAACUUGUGCGAAACCAUUUGCGGAUUCGUGAGUUUGUUCUCUCAAGAUUGAGAGUCGUAGGGAUAUGUUUGGACGGUGAAGGACUGACUUUUUUCCUCCUAAAUUCGUAAAUGGGUACUCCAGUAAAUAUCAUUGUUGGGAGUCAUGUUUGGGUUGAAGACCCAUCUGUUGCUUGGAUAGAUGGACAAGUAACUAAGAUAAAUGGAAAUGAAGUUGAGAUCCAGUUGUCUGAUGGGAGGACGGUCGUUGAGAAAUUGUCAAAGAUCUAUCCCAAAGAUGAAGAAGCUCCUGCUGGUGGAGUGGAUGAUAUGACGAAAUUAUCAUAUUUGCAUGAGCCUGGAGUACUGCAGAACUUAGCUGCAAGAUAUCAACUCAAUGAAAUCUAUACUUACACUGGAAGUAUUCUUAUCGCCAUUAAUCCAUUCCAAAGACUACCUCAUAUAUAUGAUUCCAGCAUGAUGGAACAAUAUAAGGGAGCUCCAUUUGGGGAAUUAAGCCCUCAUGUUUUUGCAAUUGCAGAUGUUGCCUAUAGGGCAAUGAUUAAUGAAGGAAAGAGUAAUUCUAUUCUGGUCAGUGGCGAAAGUGGUGCUGGUAAGACUGAAACAACCAAAAUGCUUAUGCGAUAUCUUGCCUUUCUGGGUGGACGUAAAGGCACUGAAGGAAGGACUGUGGAACAACAGGUUUUAGAGUCAAACCCAGUCCUUGAAGCUUUUGGUAAUGCAAAAACUGUUAGGAACAACAAUUCCAGCCGUUUUGGUAAAUUUGUUGAGAUACAAUUUAACAAGAAUGGAAGAAUAUCAGGAGCUGCAAUUAGAACAUAUCUUCUUGAGAGAUCUCGUGUUUGCCAAGUUUCAGAUCCAGAACGCAACUAUCACUGUUUCUACCUCCUUUGUGCAGCACCACAGGAGGAAAUUGAGAAAUAUAAGUUGGGGCAUCCCAAAACAUUUCACUAUCUUAAUCAAUCAAAUUGCUAUGAACUAGUUGGCAUUAAUGAUGCUCAUGAUUAUCUUGCAACAAGGAGAGCCAUGGAUAUCGUUGGCAUUAGCCAAAAAGAGCAGGAUGCAAUUUUCAGAGUUGUGGCUGCUAUUCUCCAUCUUGGUAAUAUUGAAUUUGCGAAGGGUAAAGAAAUUGAUUCAUCGAUCCUCAAGGAUGAAAAGUCUAAGUUCCAUCUGCAAACAACAGCAGAGCUACUUAUGUGUGAUCCUGUUGCACUGGAAGAUGCACUAUUGAAGCGUGUGAUGGUAACCCCUGAAGAAGUUAUCAAAAGAAGUCUUGAUCCAGAUGGUGCAACAGUUAGUAGGGAUGGUUUAGCAAAGACAACAUAUUCCCGUUUGUUUGAUUGGUUGGUGGACAAGAUUAAUGUCUCUAUUGGACAAGAUCCUAAUUCAAAAUCCCUUAUUGGAGUUCUUGACAUCUAUGGUUUUGAAAGCUUUAAACUUAAUAGUUUUGAACAGUUCUGUAUUAAUUUCACAAAUGAAAAGCUGCAACAACAUUUUAACCAGCACGUGUUUAAGAUGGAGCAAGAAGAAUACACAAAAGAAGAAAUUGAUUGGAGUUACAUCGAAUUUGUUGAUAACCAAGAUGUCUUGGAUCUUAUUGAAAAGAAACCAGGAGGUAUUGUUGCUCUCCUUGAUGAAGCCUGUAUGUUUCCCAAGUCAACUCAUGAAACGUUUUCUCAAAAGCUUUAUCAGACAUUCAAAUCCCACAAACGCUUCAUCAAACCAAAGUUGUCACGUACGGAUUUCACAAUUGCUCAUUAUGCUGGCGAGGUCCAGUAUCAAUCUGAGCAAUUUUUGGAUAAGAACAAAGACUAUGUUGUCCCUGAACAUCAAGAUCUGUUGGUUGCUUCCAAAUGCUCUUUCGUAGCUGGGCUUUUUCCCCCACUUCCUGAAGAAACUACUAAAUCUUCGAACAAAUCUUCCAAGUUCUCAUCCAUUGGUUCUCGUUUUAAGUUACAACUUCAACAGCUGAUGGAAACAUUGAACUCUACUGAACCUCACUACAUUAGAUGUGUUAAACCUAACAAUCUUCUGAAACCAGCUGUUUUUGAAAAUGCCAACAUCAUGCAGCAACUGCGUUGUGGUGGUGUUCUAGAGGCAAUCAGAAUCAGUUGUGCUGGAUACCCUACACGUAAGACAUUCUAUGAAUUUCUACUUCGGUUUGGUCUUCUAGCACCAGAGUUCUUGGAAGGGAAUACUGAUGAAAGGAUUGCCUGCAAAAAGAUUUUGGAGAAGUUGAAUCUGGCAGGAUAUCAGAUAGGAAAAACGAAGGUUUUCUUAAGAGCUGGUCAAAUGGCUGAACUAGAUGCACGAAGAGCUCAAAAGCUGAACAAUGCAGCUAAGACAAUCCAAAGGAAGACUAGAACUCAUAUUGCUCGGAAGCAUUUUCUUGCUUUGCAGGAGGCUGCAGUUUGUAUACAAUCUGUUUGUCGAGGAAGGCUUGCUUGUAAAGUAUAUGAUGGUAUUAAAAAGGAGGCAGCUUCACUUAAAAUCCAGGCAAACUUGCGUUGUCAUCUGGCCCGGAGGAAGUACACAAACAUAAAGCUGGCAGGAGUUGUACUGCAGACAGGAAUGAGAUCAAUGGCUGCACGAAAGGAAUUCAGAUAUAGAAGGCAAACCACGGCAGCAACUCUUUUGCAGGCCAAUUGGCGUGGUCAUAGAGCCUUCUCAUACUAUAAGAAACUUAUAAGAGCAGCCAUUAUAACACAAUGCAGAUGGAGGGGAAGGGCGGCUAGAAGAGAACUCCGAAAAUUGAAGAUGGCUGCAAGAGAAACAGGGGCUCUGCAACAAGCAAAGGAUAAGCUUGAAAAACAGGUGGAAGACCUUACCUGGCGAUUGCAGUUGGAGAAACGUUUAAGGACUGACUUGGAAGAGGCAAAAGGCCAGGAAAUAGCAAAGUUACAGCAAUCGUUGCAAGAUAUGCAAAGCAAAGUGGAUGAAUCUAAUGCAUUGCUCAUCAAGGAACGUGAGGCUGCUCAGAAGGCAAUUGAAGAAGCCUCUUCAAUUGUUAGAGAAACACCUGUUCCUGUUGAAGAUACUAAAAAGAUUGAUGCUUUAACUGCAGAAGUUGAAAAUUUGAAGACUUUGCUACAAUCUGAAACCCAAAGAGCCGAUGAUUCUGAAAGGAGAUGUGCGGAAGCUUUGCAGUCAAGUGAAGACAAGCGUCAGAAAUUAGAAGAAACCAAUAAAAGAGUUCAUCAACUUCAGGAAUCUUUGAACAGGCUUGAAGAGAAACUUUCCAACUUGGAAUCAGAAAACAAAGUUCUUCGCCAGCAGGCCCUUGCAAUGGCACAAAGUAAUAAGUUGCUAUCCAGCCGCUCAAGGUCAAUUAUGCAGAGGACUGAAAGUACAAAAACCAAUGUCGACCUACAUAGUGCUUCAAUGAAUGCAAGGGAUUCUUCAGAGGCAGAGGGAAGACCUCAGAAAUCGCUUAAUGAGAAGCAACAGGAGUAUCAGGACUUGCUCCUUCGCUGUGUUGCGCAGCAUCUAGGCUUCUCUAAGGGUAGACCAGUUGCUGCCUGCAUCAUAUACAAAUGCCUUAGACAGUGGCAUUCAUUUGAAGCUGAGAGGACAAGUAUUUUUGACAAAAUAAUCCAGACCAUCGGCCAUGCUAUUGAGAAGACUCAGGACAAUAAUGAUGUCUUAGCCUAUUGGCUAUCCAAUGCUUCAACAUUGUUGCUGCUGUUGCAACGCACACUGAAAGCUGGUGGCACUACCGGGGUGACUACUCAACACCGGCGAUCACCAUCAGCAACUCUGUUUGGGAGAAUGACACAGAGUUUCCGGGGAACUCCUCAAGAUGUCAACCUUUCUCUGAUUGAUGGUGAUUUGGCUCGUAGAGUGGAUAUUCUACGCCAGGUUGAAGCAAAAUACCCUGCGUUGCUUUUUAAACAGCAACUUACAGCUUAUGUGGAGAAAAUUUAUGGAAUGAUCCGUGAUAAUUUAAAGAAAGAGAUUUCUCCGGUGCUUGGGUUGUGCAUUCAGGCACCAAGACUAUCCAGAGCAACCUUGCUUAAGGGGACAGCACGCAUGCUUGCUAAUGCUGCUGCUCAGGAGAUCUUAAUUGCUCAUUGGCAAGGCAUUGUGAAGAGCCUAGGAAACUUUUUAAAUAUCUUAAAAGCUAAUCACGUGCCUCCCUUUCUGGUGCGCAAGAUUUUCACCCAAAUUUUUUCUUUCAUCAAUGUGCAACUCUUCAACAGCCUCUUGCUGAGACGAGAAUGUUGCUCGUUUAGUAAUGGAGAAUAUGUGAAGGCUGGGUUGGCUGAGCUGGAGCACUGGUGCUAUAAUGCUACUGAUGAGUAUGCUGGUUCAUCCUGGGACGAGCUUAAGCAUAUAAGACAAGCGAUUGGGUUUCUGGUACACCACCAUCUUCUUCUUGCUGGAAAACUUUCUGCUCGUUAUCAUGUUAAUUGAAGAAAAGGCAGUUACAGUGUCCGUUGGACAAUUUGAUCCUUUCAUUCAAGCAUGCACCUUUGAUUGGAAUCAGUGAACAUAUUCUGUAUUCGGAAAAUGUUUGAGGUUAUACAUCAAAAGCCCAAGAAGACGCUAGAUGAAAUAAGUCAUGAUCUAUGCCCUGUGCUUAGCAUUCAACAGCUCUACAGGAUCAGCACAAUGUACUGGGAUGACAAAUAUGGCACGCAUAGUCUUUCCCCAGAUGUUAUAUCCAACAUGAGGGUGUUAAUGACGGAAGACUCCAAUAAUGCUGUAAGCAGUUCUUUCCUGCUGGAUGAUGAUUCAAGCAUUCCAUUCUCUGUUGAUGACCUCUCCAAGUCAAUGGAUCAGAUUGAUGUUUUAGACAUUGAACCACCCUCACUUAUUCGUGAAAAUUCAGGGUUCAGCUUCUUACUGCCUGCCACGUCCUGACUAAAGAUGGGUUAAUUGAUCGCCAUCCAAUUCUUUGCUAAGACUUGAUAAAAAGAUAGUUUAAUCCCUGACUUGAUUAUUGGCCUAUUAAAUUGGAACCAUUGGCUUUUCCCAUCCUCAAAUGAUUCAUGGCAUGUCUUCUGCACUUUUGGUUUUGUUUCUUUGAAACUUGUCUCAUCUCUGCAUAUGGCUGGCGUACAUUAUUGAUGGUUAAUGCGUUUCAUUUUAGGGCUUCACCGCGCAUUUGUUCCUCUUAGCUACUAGCUAUCUAGCUGCAUUGCGGCUUUUCUGUAUCCAACGUUAAUUCUUCAAAAAUGUUAAUAGAGUCUAUCUAAUGCCAUUAAUAAUAAUGUAAUCAAGCUUCCCGGGGCUUAUCCGCUUU